ACGGCUACCACAUCUAAGGAAGGCAGCAGGCGCGUAACUUACCCACUCCCAGUUCAGGGAGGUAGUGACAAUAAAUACCUUACAGAGGUCUCGUUAACCGAGAUCUCUCAAACGGAAUGAGUACAACGUGAAUCCUUUAACGAGGAUCGACUGGAGGGCAAGCCUGGUGCCAGCAGCCGCGGUAAUUCCAGCUCCAGUAGCGUAUAUUAAAGCUGUUGCGGUUAAAAAGCUCGUAGUUGGAUAUCAGUGCGUGUCCGGUCCGGUAUGCCUGGCGGCGGCGCCUCGCGCGUCACUGCUGGGCUCCCAAAUAUCGGCUGGCCGCAUUCAAUCGUGCCGGAUCCGUCGCCGGGCCGUUCUUCGGAGGGGCCUGGCGGCGACCGGCGUCGUUACCUUGAACAAAUUAGAGUGCUCAAAGCAGGCUCUGAAUGCCUGUAUACAUAUUCAUGGAAUUGGAGAAUACGUCCCUGGCUCGAUUUGGUUGGUUUUGAGAGUCGAAGGGAAAUGAUUAAUAGGGACUGACGGAGGCAUUCGUAUUGCGACGCGAGGGGUGAAAUCCUGUGACCGUCGCACGACGAACUACUGCGAAAGCAUUUGCCGAGAAUGUUUUCAUUAGUCAAGAACGAAAGUUAGAGGUUCGAAGGCGAUCAGAUACCGCCCUAGUUCUAACCGUAAACGAUGUCGACCAGCAAUCCGCAACGGUCACUACACGGACUGUGCGGGCAGCUUCCCCGGGGAAACCAGAGUUUUUGGACUCCGGGGGAAGUAUGGUUGCAAAGCUGAAACUUAAAGGAAUUGACGGAAGGGCACCACCAGGAGUGGAGCUUGCGGCUUAAUUUGACUCAACACGGGACAACUCACCAGGCCCGGACACCGUAAGGAUUGACAGACUGAUAGCUCUCUCUUGAUUCAGUGGGUGGUGGUGCAUGGCCGUUCUUAGUUGGUGGAGUGAUUUGUCUGGUUUAUUCCGAUAACGAACGAGACUCUGGCCUAUUAAACUUGGCACUGUCAGUCUCUUGUGACUGCGGUGGGCUUCUUAGAGGGAUCAUCGGCGUCCCAGCCGAAGGAAAUGGAGCAAUAACAGGUCUGUGAUGCCCUUAGAUGUUCUGGGCUGCACGCGUGUUACACUGAAGUGGUCAGCGCGCCGUUCAACACCCCUCUCCGUGAGGAGCUGGGCAAACGUUUGAACCCUUUUCGUGAUGGGAAUUGGGGGUUGCAAUUGUCCCCCAUGAACGAGGAAUUCCAAGUAAGCGCAGGUCACUAGCCUGCGUUGAUUAAGUCCCUGCCCUUUGUACACACCGCCCGUCGCUACUACCGAUGGAUGAUUUGGUGAGGACGCCCAGACUGGCCGCUGGCUUCGGCCGUGCGGCCGGAAAGACGCCCAAACUUGGUCGUCUAGAGGAAGUAAAAGUCGUAACAAGGUUUCC
rnacentral:rRNA from 1 species